UACGAAGGGGGCUAGCGUUGCUCGGAUUGACUGGGCGUAAAGGGCGCGUAGGCGGUUCGUACAGUCAGACGUGAAAUUCCUGGGCUCAACCUGGGGGCUGCGUUUGAUACGUGCGGGCUUGAGUGCGGAAGAGGGUCGUGGAAUUCCCAGUGUAGAGGUGAAAUUCGUAGAUAUUGGGAAGAACACCGGUGGCGAAGGCGGCGACCUGGUCCGAUACUGACGCUGUGGCGCGAAAGCGUGGGGAGCAAACAGG
rnacentral:rRNA from 1 species